rnacentral:rRNA from 1 species
CCCUUAGAUGUCCGGGGCUGCACGCGCGCUACACUGAAGGAAUCAGCGUGCUAAAACCAUUGUCGAAAGGCAUUGGUAAACCCAUUAAAAUCCUACGUGAUUGGGAUCGGGAAUUGCAAUUAUUUCCCUUGAACGAGGAAUUCCCAGUAAGUGUGGGUCAUAAGCUCGCGUUGAUUACGUCCCUGCCCUUUGUAUACACCGCCCGUCGCUGCCCGGGACUGAGCCGUUUCGAGAAAAGCGGGGACUGCUGCUGUCGGGGCUUUCGGGCCUUGGCUUCGGUGGAAACCGCUUUAAUCGCAGUGGCUUGAACCGGGCAAAAGUCGUAACA